rnacentral:rRNA from 1 species
AUGCACGCUGGCGGCGUGCCUCAUACAUGCAGGUCGAGCGAACAGAUAAGGAGCUUGCUCCUUUGACGUUAGCGGCGGACGGGUGAGUAACACGUGGGUAACCUACCUAUAAGACUGGGAUAACUUCGGGAAACCGGAGCUAAUACCGGAUAACAUUUGGAACCGCAUGGUUCUAAAGUGAAAGAUGGUUUUGCUAUCACUUAUAGAUGGACCCGCGCCGUAUUAGCUAGUUGGUAAGGUAACGGCUUACCAAGGCGACGAUACGUAGCCGACCUGAGAGGGUGAUCGGCCACACUGGAACUGAGACACGGUCCAGACUCCUACGGGAGGCAGCAGUAGGGAAUCUUCCGCAAUGGGCGAAAGCCUGACGGAGCAACGCCGCGUGAGUGAUGAAGGGUUUCGGCUCGUAAAACUCUGUUAUUAGGGAAGAACAAAUGUGUAAGUAACUGUGCACGUCUUGACGGUACCUAAUCAGAAAGCCACGGCUAACUACGUG